GGAGAGAUCUGGGAACGCAGUGAGGAUGCCAGUGCAGCAGAUCUCCGUGGUCCCCGCUCGGGAGAUGGCCAAUAACGGCCGGAGCGCCCCUCGCUCCAAAGACAAGACCGAGAGUAUUAAAGGUCCAGGUCGGUCAGGCAGUCGAUCCAGCAACAUCUUGAAGGCCAGCAGUUCUACAACAGGAUUGGCUCCUGGCAGUGUUUCGAGGACAACUCCCUCCUCUCAGGACAUCUGCAGGUGAGACUGUUACCCAGCGG